CCUACGGGUGGCAGCAGUGAGGAAUAUUGGUCAAUGGGCGUAAGCCUGAACCAGCCAAGUCGCGUGAGGGAUGAAGGUUCUAUGGAUCGUAAACCUCUUUUAUAAGGGAGUAAAGUGUGGGACGUGUCCUAUUUUGUAUGUACCUUAUGAAUAAGGAUCGGCUAACUCCGUGCCAGCAGCCGCGGUAAUACGGAGGAUCCGAGCGUUAUCCGGAUUUAUUGUGGUUAAAGGGUGCGUUGGCGGCUAUUUAAGGCAGCGGUGAAAGUCUGUGGCUCAACCAUAGAAUUGCCGUUGAAACUGGGGGGCUUGAGUGUGUUUGAGGAAGGCGGAAUGCGUGGUGUAGCGGUGAAAUGCUUAGAGAUCACGAAGAACCCCGAUGGCGAAGGCAGCCUG
rnacentral:rRNA from 1 species